ACACACACAAGCGUGACCCAUUUAAUGUGGAGGAGAGAGUUGGGGCCGAGGUGGCCUCUGUCCAACCGAGGAGUGUAAACACGAGUGCGACUGUGUUUGCUUUAUGUGGAAGUUACAUAAACACAUUAGAAGGAUUUAGACUCUUGUUUAGGUUCAGUCUGGUGCCAAAGUAUCGAGGGGAUAUGGGACCAUGUCGCUCCAAAACAGCUGGCUUUAACAUUUCUGUUUUCAGCUUCAUGACAUCGAAAUCCACCAGGAAAUGAAACAUUAGAUUUGAACUAACUUUAAGGAUGUGCUCAUUCUUUAGAUAUGGUAAAAGAAGAUGCUCGCAUUUAACCAGAGGCCAAAAUGUCACAUAAUGGUAAAACCAGUGAGCAGGAAUAACAGUAACAAAAAUGCUCAUGUGAAGAGUGAUGUCCUAUAACUGGGGGCCAAGUCCAGAGAGGAACCAAAAAAGCACAGUGAGGGUCAGAAAAAUCCGAAAAUGACUGGAACACAUCGGCACAGAGUGAAAGCAGACGUACGGAGAAUGAACACAGGAUUACAGUCAGAUGAGAGUCUCUGAGGUGGUAUUUCUCACUUUACGAUCUCCCAGCAUCCUCUGCUGCAGACCUGCCCUCCAGAUUACAGAGCAUUGAAGAAGAGAAUCAGAGCUUCUCUGCCCCCGCCACAGAAAACACAUCUGAGCAGGUUCCUCUCAUUGAAGGAGGAACAAAGACGAAACAUCAGAUCACAGCUGGACUUAGAAGAAAUAAUCUGUCAAGUCACAUCAGCUGUGACCUGCUUAAAUCCGCCAACAACAAACAUCGGCCCUUCACGCUCCAGCUUCUAGAGCCACAACAGCCCAAAAAGCGAUGUGUGAAUGGACCUCGACGUGCCAACAUCUCGUCAACAGUUGUGGUUUUGAGUCUGCAAUGUUGUCUUAUGCGUGUUAAAGCUAUAAAAGUGCAUCUUAGAGUCAAUAUUUCAAGACCUCGGUGCAAUCCGCCCUUUUUUUCUUUGGUGAAUUUUCCUGAUAAAGACUUGAACUUGCCCCUAAAGGACUUUGCUGCAUGGCCAGUGUGAAAGACUCCGGCUCUGAGAACACGCUACAGCUUUAAACCCUUAAUUUGACACGUAAUAAUGUGUUGAUGACUCUCCCCGGCUCGUUCCCAUACUCCCGGCCUCUAAUUAAAAUGAUAAUGAGCCAGAUGAGGGUUUCAGACGAGAGCCUCGGUCGAGACGUCAGCCCUGACUCUGGUUUCACCCUGACACACGUCUGGCGGGAAGGAAAAACAGCCAGAUUAGCCUGUGGAUCACGGGUUUGUGCAGGCUGCAAACCCGGAACACGCUCCACAACCCAGUGUGAAUGAGAGACGAUUAAAAAGCAACUGGAAAAGCGACUAUUUAUAGCUGAAAUUUGCAUUUUUAUGGGAAGAGUUUAUUUCCAAAGAGCCAUUUUGAAAUGGGAGAAUAGAAAUUAUGAUGCAUUCAGGGUGGAUUUAAAACG